AUUGAACGCUGGCGGCAUGCCUAACACAUGCAAGUCGAACGAGUGGCGGACGGGUGAGUAAUGUAUGGGAAACUGCCAGAUGGAGGGGGAUAACUACUUGAAAAGGUAGAUAAUACCGCCUACCAUCGGAUGUGCCCCGAUGGGCUUAGCUAGUAGGUGGGGGAAAGGCUAACCUGGGCGACGAUCCCUAGCUGGUCUGAGAGGAUGAACAGCCACACUGGAACUGAGACACGGUCCAGACUACUACGGGGGGCAGCAGUGGGGAAUAUUGCACAAUGGGCGCAAGCCUGAUGCAGCCAUGCCGCGGGUAUGAAGAAGGCCUUCGGGUUGUAAAGUACUUUCAGCGGGGAGGCGUUACCCGAAGAAGAAGCACCGGCUAACUCCGUGCCAGCAGCCGCGGUAAUAC
rnacentral:rRNA from 1 species